UACGUAGGGGGCUAGCGUUGUCCGGAAUCAUUGGGCGUAAAGCGCGUGUAGGCGGCCCGAUAAGUCCGCUGUGAAAGUCUGGGGCUCAACCCUCGGAUGCCGGUGGAUACUGUCGGGCUCGAGUACGGAAGAGGCGAGUGGAAUUCCUGGUGUAGCGGUGAAAUGCGCAGAUAUCAGGAGGAACACCAAUUGCGAAGGCAGCUCGCUGGGACGUUACUGACGCUGAGACGCGAAAGCGUGGGGAGCAAACAGG
rnacentral:rRNA from 1 species